rnacentral:rRNA from 1 species
AUUGAACGCUGUCGGCAGGCUUAACACAUGCAAGUCGAGCGAGCGGCGGACGGGUGAGUAAUGUCUGGGAAACUGCCUGAUGGAGGGGGAUAACUACUGGAAACGGUAGCUAAUAUCGCAUACCAUCAGAUGUGCCCAGAUGGGAUUAGCUCGUAGGUGGGGUAAUGGCUCACCUAGGCGACGAUCCCGAGCUGGUCUGAGAGGAUGACCAGCCACUCUGGAACUGAGACACGGUCCAGACUCCUACGGGAGGACGCAGGGGGGAAGAUUGCACAAUGGGCGCAAGCCUGAUGCAGCCAUGCCGCGUGUGUGAAGAAGGCCUUCGGGGUGUAAAGCACGUUCAGCGAGGAGGCGUUACUCGCAGAAGAAGCACCGGCUAACUCCGUGCCAGCCGCCGCGGUAAUAC